rnacentral:rRNA from 1 species
UACGUAGGGUGCAAGCGUUGUCCGGAAUUAUUGGGCGUAAAGAGCUCGUAGGCGGUUUGUUGCGUCGGCUGUGAAAUCCCGAGGCUCAACCUCGGGUCUGCAGUCGAUACGAGCAAACUAGAGUGUUGCAGGGGAGACUGGAAUCCUGGUGUAGCGGUGAAAUGCGCAGAUAUCAGGAGGAACACCGGUGGCGAAGGCGGGUCUCUGGGCAACAA